CAAGAGGUAGCAAUACCUCCUAGAGUGGCGGACUGGUGAGUAACACGUGGGUGACAUACCCUUCAGAUGGGGAUAGCUAUUAGAAAUAGUAGAUAAUACCGAAUACGAGCACAGGGGUUAGAGAUCUGUGAGGAAAGGAGCUAAGGCUCCGCUGAAGGAAUGGCCUGCGGCCCAUUAGCUAGUUGGUGAGGUAAGAGCCCACCAAGGCGAUGAUGGGUAUCCGGCCUUAGAGGGUGAACGGACACAUUGGGACUGAGAUACGGCCCAGACUCCUACGGGAGGCAGCAGCUAAGAAUAUUCCGCAAUGGACGAAAGUCUGACGGAGCGACGCCGCGUGGAUGAAGAAGGCCGGAAGGUUGUAAAAAUCCUUUUGAAACUGAAGAAUAAGCGUUGUAGGGAAUGACAGCGUGGUGACAGUAGGUUUUGAAUAAGCAACGGCUAAUUACGUGCCAGCCGCUGC
rnacentral:rRNA from 1 species